GGCGAACGCUGGCGGCGCGCCUAACACAUGCAAGUCGAACGAGCGAGAGAGAGCUUGCUUUCUCGAGCGAGUGGCGAACGGGUGAGUAACGCGUGAGGAACCUGCCUCAAAGAGGGGGACAACAGUUGGAAACGACUGCUAAUACCGCAUAAGCCCACAGCUCGGCAUCGAGCAGAGGGAAAAGGAGCAAUCCGCUUUGAGAUGGCCUCGCGUCCGAUUAGCUAGUUGGUGAGGUAACGGCCCACCAAGGCGACGAUCGGUAGCCGGACUGAGAGGUUGAACGGCCACAUUGGGACUGAGACACGGCCCAGACUCCUACGGGAGGCAGCAGUGGGGAAUAUUGCACAAUGGGGGAAACCCUGAUGCAGCGACGCCGCGUGGAGGAAGAAGGUCUUCGGAUUGUAAACUCCUGUUGUUGAGGAAGAUAAUGACGGUACUCAACAAGGAAGUGACGGCUAACUACGUGCCAGCAGCCGCGGUAAAACGUAGGUCACAAGCGUUGUCCGGAAUUACUGGGUGUAAAGGGAGCGCAGGCGGGAAGACAAGUUGGAAGUGAAAUCCAUGGGCUCAACCCAUGAACUGCUUUCAAAACUGUUUUUCUUGAGUAGUGCAGAGGUAGGCGGAAUUCCCGGUGUAGCGGUGGAAUGCGUAGAUAUCGGGAGGAACACCAGUGGCGAAGGCGGCCUACUGGGCACCAACUGACGCUGAGGCUCGAAAGUGUGGGUAGCAAACAGGAUUAGAUACCCUGGUAGUCCACACUGUAAACGAUGAUUACUAGGUGUUGGAGGAUUGACCCCUUCAGUGCCGCAGUUAACACAAUAAGUAAUCCACCUGGGGAGUACGACCGCAAGGUUGAAACUCAAAGGAAUUGACGGGGGCCCGCACAAGCAGUGGAGUAUGUGGUUUAAUUCGACGCAACGCGAAGAACCUUACCAAGUCUUGACAUCCUGCGAUGGUGCUGGAAACAGUACUUUCCUUCGGGACGCAGAGACAGGUGGUGCAUGGUUGUCGUCAGCUCGUGUCGUGAGAUGUUGGGUUAAGUCCCGCAACGAGCGCAACCCUUAUGGUCAGUUACUACGCAAGAGGACUCUGGCCAGACUGCCGUUGACAAAACGGAGGAAGGUGGGGAUGACGUCAAAUCAUCAUGCCCUUUAUGACUUGGGCUACACACGUACUACAAUGGCGUUAAACAAAGAGAAGCAAGACCGCGAGGUGGAGCAAAACUCAGAAACAACGUCCCAGUUCGGACUGCAGGCUGCAAACUCGCCUGCACGAAGUCGGAAUUGCUAGUAAUCGCAGAUCAGCAUGCUGCGGUGAAUACGUUCCCGGGCCU
rnacentral:rRNA from 1 species